AAUGAACGCUGGCGGCAGGCCUAAAACAUGCAAGUCGAACGCCCUAGCAAUAGGGAGUGGCGCACGGGUGCGUAACAUGUGGGAAUAUGCCUUUUGGUACGGAACAACGUUUGGAGACGAACGCUAAUACCGUAUGGUCCCUUCGGGGUAAAGAUUUAUCGCCAAAAGAUUAGCCCGCACUGGAUUAGCUAGUUGGUGAGGUAAUGGCUCACCAAGGCGACGAUCCAUAGCUGGCUGAGAGGACGAUCAGCCACACUGGGACUGAGACACGGCCCAGACUCCUACGGGAGGCAGCAGUUAGGAAUAUUGGACAAUGGGCGCAAGCCUGAUCCAGCCAUGCCGCGUGAGUGAUGAAGGCCUUCGGUUGUAAG
rnacentral:rRNA from 1 species